UGCCAGCCGCCGCGGUAAUACGGAGGGUGCGAGCGUUAAUCGGAAUUACUGGGCGUAAAGCGCGCGUAGGCGGUUAUCUAAGCUAGAUGUGAAAUCCCAGGGCUCAACCUUGGACCUGCAUUUAGAACUGGGUAACUAGAGUACAGCAGAGGAUAGUGGAAUUUCAGGUGUAGCGGUGAAAUGCGUAGAUAUCUGAAGGAACAUCAGUGGCGAAGGCGACUGCCUGGCUCGAUACUGACGCUGAGGUGCGAAAGCGUGGGGAGCAAACAGGAUUAGAUA
rnacentral:rRNA from 1 species